GGUUCCUACGGGGCGCAGCAGUGAGGAAUAUUGGGCAAUGGGCGCAAGCCUGACCCAGCAACGCCGCGUGAAGGAAGAAGGCUUUCGGGUUGUAAACUUCUUUUGACAGGGAAGAGUAGAAGACGGUACCUGUCGAAUAAGCCACGGCUAACUACGUGCCAGCAGCCGCGGUAAUACGUAGGUGGCAAGCGUUGUCCGGAUUUACUGGGUGUAAAGGGCGUGCAGCCGGAGAGACAAGUCAGAUGUGAAAUCCACGGGCUCAACCCGUGAACUGCAUUUGAAACUGUUUCCCUUGAGUGUCGGAG
rnacentral:rRNA from 1 species